AUUGAACGCUGGCGGCAUGCCUUACACAUGCAACUCGAACGGUAACGGGCCUUCGGGUGCCGACGAGUGGCGAACGGGUGAGUAAUACAUCGGAACGUGCCCGAUCGUGGGGGAUAACGAGGCGAAAGCUUUGCUAAUACCGCAUACGAUCUACGGAUGAAAGCAGGGGACCGCAAGGCCUUGCGCGGACGGAGCGGCCGAUGGCAGAUUAGGUAGUUGGUGGGAUAAAAGCUUACCAAGCCGACGAUCUGUAGCUGGUCUGAGAGGAUGAUCAGCCACACUGGGACUGAGACACGGCCCAGACUCCUACGGGAGGCAGCAGUGGGGAAUUUUGGACAAUGGGCGCAAGCCUGAUCCAGCCAUGCCGCGUGCAGGAUGAAGGCCUUCGGGUUGUAAACAGAUUUUGUACGGAACGAAAAGCCUUCUUUUAAUACAGGAGGGUCAUGACGGUACCGGAAGAAUAAGCACCGGCUAACUACGUG
rnacentral:rRNA from 1 species